rnacentral:rRNA from 1 species
UGGGGAAUAUUGCACAAUGGGCGCAAGCCUGAUGCAGCCAUGCCGCGUGUGUGAAGAAGGCCUUCGGGUUGUAAAGCACUUUCAGCGAGGAGGAAGGUGGUGAGCUUAAUACGCUCAUCAAUUGACGUUACUCGCAGAAGAAGCACCGGCUAACUCCGUGCCAGCAGCCGCGGUAAUACGGAGGGUGCAAGCGUUAAUCGGAAUUACUGGGCGUAAAGCGCACGCAGGCGGUUUGUUAAGUCAGAUGUGAAAUCCCCGGGCUCAACCUGGGAACUGCAUUUGAAACUGGCAAGCUAGAGUCUCAUAGAGGGGGGUAGAAUUCCAGGUGUAGCGGUGAAAUGCGUAGAGAUCUGGAGGAAUACCGGUGGCGAAGGCGGCCCCCUGGACGAAGACUGACGCUCAGGUGCGAAAGCGUGGGGCAGCAAACAGGAUUAGAUACCCUGGUAGUCCACGCUGUAAAACGAUGUCGAUUUUGGAGGUUGUGCCCUUGAGGCGUGGCUUCCGGAGCUAACGCGUUAAAUCGACCGCCUGGGGAGUACGGCCGCAAGGUUAAAACUCAAAGGAAUUG